CUGAAUUGUCAACACGAGUUGUUGCUGGUCCUCAAAUGGGGGCAUGUGCACGCUCUGUUUACACAUCCACUCACACCUGUGCACCCUCCAUAGUUCUGGGGCAGGGGGGACUCUGUCCUCCUGCCAUGGUUCUAUGUCUUUACACACACACUGUAACAAAGUCUCAUGGAAUGUAUGCCGCGUUUAACGCAAUACAAUA
rnacentral:misc_RNA from 1 species